CUGAUGUCAAAAAUAGACUUCCCAUUCUUUCCAAAGUGUGGCAAAAAUAACCACAUGCCUUUCUUGGCCUCCCGACUCUCACCCUAGAGGGUUUUCUUGUAUAGGAACCAACAAUGCUUUGGAUGGAAACUCUGGAUAGGCUGGUCAUUAUUUUAAGAUUUAGGAGAUUGCAGAUUCUUGGCAGACCUUGGUUGUUUUUCUAGAGUAGUAGGCAAGUAGUUGGACAAAAAGCAAGGAGCCGAUCCAUGUUGCUGGCUUUGGGUUCUUCGUGAACAAAUGAGGCAAGAUGGGCAACUGACCAGAGGCCUUGACAGUGUCCGCUGAUGUGGCGUAAGAAGGUGAUCUGGACCAUGCUGACGUCCCCCUUCCUCCUCCUAGGCAUUCGAAGUAAGGAACGUCCAGAGCAUCUGUUCCGUCCAUGAUGGGAAGAGGAGCAGCGCUCUGGGAAACCCAGCCCUGUGUUUUAGAUCAGCUCCUCCUCUGCAUCAACAUUGAAUCUGCACCUCACAACUGGUAUCAAGGCCUGGUUUCCAGAAGUUUCUCAUCUUGAGAUCCCUCUAUCACUUCAACUUUUCUUGCCUGAGAGCCUGACUACAAAUAAAUCUUUUUCCUGUUAAGUUU
rnacentral:lncRNA from 1 species